rnacentral:tRNA from 1 species
GUUAAUGUAGCAUAAUCUGGUUAUUGCAAAAGGUCUAAACCCUUUUCAUAGAGGCUCAAGUCCUCUCGUUAACU